GGGUUGUGAGGUUAAGUGACUAAGCGUACACGGUGGAUGCCUAGGCAGUCAGAGGCGAUGAAGGACGUGCUAAUCUGCGAUAAGCGUCGGUGAGCUGAUAUGAAGCAUUAUUAGCCGGCGAUGUCCGAAUGGGGAAACCCAGUGCAAUCCGUUGCACUAUCGUUAAGUGAAUACAUAGCUUAACGAGGCGAACCAGGGGAACUGAAACAUCUAAGUACCCUGAGGAAAAGAAAUCAACCGAGAUUCCCCUAGUAGCGGCGAGCGAACGGGGAAGAGCCCAGAACCUGAAUCAGUUUGUGCAUUAGUGGAAGCGUCUGGAAAGUCGCGCGAUACAGGGUGAUAGCCCCGUACACGAAGGUGCACAGCUGUGAGUUCGAUGAGUAGGGCGGGACACGUGUUAUCCUGUCUGAAUAUGGGGGGACCAUCCUCCAAGGCUAAAUACUCCUGACUGACCGAUAGUGAACCAGUACCGUGAGGGAAAGGCGAAAAGAACCCCGGCGAGGGGAGUGAAAUAGAACCUGAAACCGUGUACGUACAAGCAGUGGGAGCAUCCUUCGGGGUGUGACUGCGUACCUUUUGUAUAAUGGGUCAGCGACUUAUAUUUUGUAGCAAGGUUAACCGAAUAGGGGAGCCGUAGGGAAACCGAGUCUUAACUGGGCGUCUAGUUGCAAGGUAUAGACCCGAAACCCGGUGAUCUAGCCAUGGGCAGGUUGAAGGUUGGGUAACACUAACUGGAGGACCGAACCGACUAAUGUUGAAAAAUUAGCGGAUGACUUGUGGCUGGGGGUGAAAGGCCAAUCAAACCGGGAGAUAGCUGGUUCUCCCCGAAAGCUAUUUAGGUAGCGCCUCGUGAACUCAUCUUCGGGGGUAGAGCACUGUUUCGGCUAGGGGGUCAUCCCGACUUACCAACCCGAUGCAAACUACGAAUACCGAAGAAUGUUAUCACGGGAGACACACGGCGGGUGCUAACGUCCGUCGUGAAGAGGGAAACAACCCAGACCGCCAGCUAAGGUCCCAAAGUCAUGGUUAAGUGGGAAACGAUGUGGGAAGGCAUAGACAGCCAGGAUGUUGGCUUAGAAGCAGCCAUCAUUUAAAGAAAGCGUAAUAGCUCACUGGUCGAGUCGGCCUGCGCGGAAGAUGUAACGGGGCUAAACCAUGCACCGAAGCUGCGGCAGCGACGCUUAGGCGUUGUUGGGUAGGGGAGCGUUCUGUAAGCCUGCGAAGGUGGCCUGUGAGGGCUGCUGGAGGUAUCAGAAGUGCGAAUGCUGACAUAAGUAACGAUAAAGCGGGUGAAAAGCCCGCUCGCCGGAAGACCAAGGGUUCCUGUCCAACGUUAAUCGGGGCAGGGUAAGUCGACCCCUAAGGCGAGGCUGAAAAGCGUAGUCGAUGGGAAACAGGUUAAUAUUCCUGUACUUGGUGUUAUUGCGAAGGGGGGACGGAGAAGGCUAGACCGGCCGGGCGACGGUUGUCCCGGUUUAAGCGUGUAGGUGGGGUGACUUGGCAAAUCCGGUUACCUUUAACACUGAGGCGUGAUGACGAGGCACUACGGUGCUGAAGUGGUUAAUGCCCUGCUUCCAGGAAAAGCCUCUAAGCUCCAGAUAACACUGAAUCGUACCCCAAACCGACACAGGUGGUCAGGUAGAGAAUACCAAGGCGCUUGAGAGAACUCGGGUGAAGGAACUAGGCAAAAUGGUGCCGUAACUUCGGGAGAAGGCACGCUGGCACGUAGGUGAAGUCCCUCGCGGAUGGAGCCGAAGCCAGUCGAAGAUACCAGCUGGCUGCAACUGUUUAAUAAAAACACAGCACUCUGCAAACACGAAAGUGGACGUAUAGGGUGUGACGCCUGCCCGGUGCUGGAAGGUUAAUUGAUGGGGUCAGCCGCAAGGCGAAGCUCUUGAUCGAAGCCCCAGUAAACGGCGGCCGUAACUAUAACGGUCCUAAGGUAGCGAAAUUCCUUGUCGGGUAAGUUCCGACCUGCACGAAUGGCGUAAUGAUGGCCAGGCUGUCUCCACCCGAGACUCAGUGAAAUUGAACUCGCUGUGAAGAUGCAGUGUACCCGCGGCAAGACGGAAAGACCCCGUGAACCUUUACUAUAGCUUGACACUGAACAUUGAACCUUGAUGUGUAGGAUAGGUGGGAGGCUUUGAAGUGUGGACGCCAGUCUGCAUGGAGCCGACCUUGAAAUACCACCCUUUAAUGUUUGAUGUUCUAACCUGGUCCCGUGAUCCGGGAUAGGGACAGUGUCUGGUGGGUAGUUUGACUGGGGCGGUCUCCUCCCAAAGAGUAACGGAGGAGCACGAAGGUUAGCUAAUCCUGGUCGGACAUCAGGAGGUUAGUGCAAAGGCAUAAGCUAGCUUGACUGCGAGAGUGACGGCUCGAGCAGGUGCGAAAGCAGGUCUUAGUGAUCCGGUGGUUCUGAAUGGAAGGGCCAUCGCUCAACGGAUAAAAGGUACUCCGGGGAUAACAGGCUGAUACCGCCCAAGAGUUCAUAUCGACGGCGGUGUUUGGCACCUCGAUGUCGGCUCAUCACAUCCUGGGGCUGAAGUAGGUCCCAAGGGUAUGGCUGUUCGCCAUUUAAAGUGGUACGCGAGCUGGGUUUAGAACGUCGUGAGACAGUUCGGUCCCUAUCUGCCGUGGGCGUUGGAAGAUUGAGAGGGGCUGCUCCUAGUACGAGAGGACCGGAGUGGACGCACCGCUGGUGUUCGGGUUGUGAUGCCAAUUGCAUUGCCCGGUAGCUACGUGCGGAAAAGAUAAGCGCUGAAAGCAUCUAAGCGCGAAACUUGCCUCGAGAUGAGUCUUCCCUUGGACCUUGAGUCCACUAAAGGAACGUUUAAGACUAAGACGUUGAUAGGCUGGGUGUGUAAGCGUAGCGAUACGUUGAGCUAACCAGUACUAAUGAUCCGUGAGACUUAACCUUACAACACCGAAGGUGUUU
rnacentral:rRNA from 1 species